UACAGAGGAGCCAAGCGUUGUCCGGAUUGACUGGGCGUAAAGCGCACGCAGGCGGUUGCGCGCGUGGGGUGUGAAAUCUGGCCGCUUAACGGCCAGGCGCCAUCCCAUACGGCGCGACUGGAGUGAUGCAGAGGUCGAUGGAAUUGCCGGUGUAGUGGUGAAAUGCGUAGAGAUCGGCAGGAACACCCAGGGGGAAACCAGUCGACUGGGCAUCUACUGACGCUGAGGUGCGGGAGCGUGGGGAGCGAACCGG
rnacentral:rRNA from 1 species